CAACAAGUGUUUUAUGGCACUUUUUAAACAAUCCAUAUCCACCUUGUGUGCAACGUUUGGAGACCCUCUGUCUUCGUUACCUUAUUUUGGGGUGACGGAAAGGGGGGAACCUCUAUAAUUUACCAACAUCACCUUUAACAUAUUUGUCUGAACAUUAGUUAUCACGAAUUAACUUAAUUCGAAAAUA
rnacentral:misc_RNA from 1 species